rnacentral:lncRNA from 1 species
CGCUCGCCGCCAUCUUUGUGCCGGGCAGCGCCCCCCGUCGCCAUCUUUGAGCGGGGCGCUCCCGGCGGCCUUCUAUUCAUCGGACAGGAGGAAAGAAGUGUGAAUUCCUGAGCCCUUUGGCAAACACGACGUCAGAAGAACGUUUGAAGUAUGCUCGUCGCCUCCUGGGUUUAACCAACAUUGCGCGGCAACAAAUGGACAUAGGAAGCAAAAAGCCACCACACAGUGUUAUUUCAACUCAUCAAUAAGCGGUGCGGAGAGAUGUCACUGUGUACCAAACAUCAGUGGGAGCGUCAUACCACAGUGAGCUGCUUCAGAGACACCGGGUGUGAAUGCUUGUCCGACUGACCCCAGUAAAGGCGCCCGGCCUGGGAAGGAGGCGCAGCGGCAGUGCGGCCGUGUGGCGGUGCUGGGAGCAGAGGUGAAGGCCUCAGGUGCAGCAGGGGAUGUUCCAGAUCUCAGUGCAUGCUAGAAUGGGAAUCGCCCUUUCUUGCUAUCAGCCUCUCAGGCACACUCCUGUGUUACUGGCAGCAUACAACACCUGUUUGAUUUCACAGGCAUUUCAGCACCAGUGCAGGUGCGGAAGGAGAAUCUUUGCUCCUAACAAAU